CCUACGUGUGGCAGCAGUGGGGGAUAUUGCACAAUGGGGGGAACCCUGAUGCAGCGACGCCGCGUGGGUGAAGAAGCGCCUCGGCGCGUAAAGCCCUGUCAGCAGGGAAGAAAAUGACGGUAGCUGAAGAAGAAGGCCCGGCUAACUACGUGCCAGCAGGCGCGGGAAUACGUAGGGGGCAAGCGUUAACCGGAUUUACUGGGUGUAAAGGGGGCGCAGGCGGGGAUGCAAGCCAAGAGUGAAGGCCAGGGGCCCACCCCCGGGACUGUUCUUGGAACGGCGUGGCUGGAGUGCAGGGGGGGCAGGCGGAAUUCCUGGUGUAGCGGUGAAAUGCGUAGAUAUCAGGAGGAACACCGGUGGCGAAGGCGGCCUGCUGGACUGCAACUGACGUUGAGGCCCGAAAGCGUGGGGAGCAAACAGGAUUAGAUACCCUGUAGUC
rnacentral:rRNA from 1 species